rnacentral:lncRNA from 1 species
GGGAUCCGAGGGGUUGGGAUCGUUGGGAUUGGGAUCGUUGGGAUCCGUGGGAUCGAGAUCCAUGGGAUCGGGAUCCACGGGAUCGGGAUUGGGACUGGGAUUGGGAUUGGGAUUGCAUUCCUGGGAUUUGGAUUGGGAUCCACGGGAUUGGGGUGGGAUUGGGAUUGGGAUUGCAUUCUUGGGAUUGGGAUUGGGAUCCACAGGAUUGGGGUGGGAAUGGGAUUGGGAUUGCAUUCUUGGGAUUGGGAUUGGGAUCCACGGGAUUGGGGUGGGAUUGGGAUUGGGAUCCAUGGGAUUGGGACUGGAAUUGGGAUUGGGAUCCAUGGGAUCAGGAUUGGAACUGGAAUUAGGAUUAGGAUCGGGAUCAUUGGGAUUGGGGUUGGGAUGGGAUCCUUGGGAUUGGGAUCCAUGGGAUUUGGAUUGGGAUGGGAUUGGGAUCAGGCUGGGAUCCUUGGGAUUGGGAUGGGAUUGGGAUUGGGAUUGGGAUGGGAUCAUUGGGAUUGAGAUUAGGGUGGGAUCUGGGAUAGAUUGGAAGUGCUGUCAGGAUUAGCUGAGAUUGGGAUCGGGAUCGGGAUCAGGAUUAGAUCUGGGUUUGGGAUCGGGAUUGGGAUUGGAUUUGGGAUUGGGAUUGGGAUUGGGAUUGGAUUUGUGUUUGGGACCGGGAUUGGGAUCAGGAUGGGGUGGGAGCUCCUUUCCCAUCCGGUGUCCUGGAAUUCCAGCCUAGAGCUGGGCUCAUCCCCAUCCCAAACAUCCCAGACAUUCCCUGCCCAUCCCCGACAUUCCCUACAGCCGUUUUUCCUGCUGAGUUAUCCCAAUCCCAUCAAUCCCAAUCCCAUCGUUCCCAAUCCCAAAUCCCCAAUCCCAAUCCCCCAUUCCCAAUCCCAAAUCCCCAAUCCCAAUCCCAAAUCCCCAAUCCCAAAUCCCCAAUCCCAAUCCCUCAUUCCCAAUCCCAAAUUCCCAUUCCCAAUUUCCCAAAUCCCCAAUCCCAAAUUCCCUAUCUCAUCAUUCCCAUUCCUAACCCCAUCAAUCCCAAUCCCAAAUCCCCAAUCCCAAAUCCCCAUUCCCAAUCCCCCAUUCCCAAUCCCAAAUCCCCAAUCCCAAAUUCCCAAUCCCAAAUCUCCAAUCCCAAUCCCAAUUUCCCAUUCCCAAAUUCCCAAUCCCAAAUUCCCAAUCCCAAAUCCCCAAUCCCAAAUUCCCAAUCCCAAAUCCCCAAUCCCAAUCCCAAUUUCCCAAUCCCAAUUUCCCAAAUUCCCAUUCCCAAAUCCCAAGUUCCCAAUCCCCAAUCCCAGAUUUCCCGGCGUUCCCGUUUUUCCCCAGGGAAGCGGCGGCUUCAUCCCAAUCCCAAAUUCCCAAUCCCAAAUUCCCAAUCCCAAAUUCCCAAUCCCAAAUUCCCAUUCCCAAAUCCCCCAUCCCAAUCCCCCAUUCCCAAAUCCCCAAUCCCAAUCCAAAUUUCCCAAUCCAAAUUUCCCAAUCCCAAUUUCCCAAACCCCCAAUCCCAGCUUUCCCGGCAUUCCCAGCUUUCCCAGCGUUCCCGUUUUUCCCCAGGGAAGCGGCAGCUUCAUCCCAAUUUCCCAAUCCCAAAUCCCCAAUCCCCAAUCCCAGUCCCAAUUUCCCAAUCCCAAUUUCCCGAAUCCCCAAUCCCAGCUUUCCCGGCAUUCCCAUUUUUCCCCAGGGAAGCAGCGGCUUCAUCCCAAUCCCAAAUUCCCAUUCCCAAAUCCCCAGUCCCAAAUUCCCAUUCUCAAAUCCCCAAUCCCAAUCCCCCAUUCCCAAUCCCAAAUUCCCAUUCCCAAAUCCCCAGUCCCAAAUUCCCAUUCUCAAAUCCCCAAUCCCCAAUCCCAAUCCCAAAUCCCCAAUCCCAAUCCAAAUUUCCCAAUCCAAAUUUCCCAAUCCCAAUUUCCCAAACCCCUAAUCCCAGCUUUCCCGGCGUUCCCGUUUUUCCCCAGGGAAGCAGCGGCUUCAUCCCAAUCCCAAUUUCCCAAUCCCCAAUCCCAAAUCCCCAAUCCCAAUCCCAAUUUUCCAAUCCAAAUUUCCCAAUCCCAAUUUCCCAAACCCCCAAUCCCAGCUUUCCCGGC